AAAAUAAAAAGAGCUUGAGUUUUGGGAGGUAUUGUGCAAAAUCCGGACAGUUUGAGGUAGCAAAUGGGUAGGAAUAUUUUGGUGGGUAUCUUUUGUGAAAUAAUGGAAUUAAGGGGUUGUUUAUGGAAUUUGAAGAAACUUGGAGUAUUUAACUCCAAUACUCCCCUUUCCAGAUCCCUAUCCGCCGCCACCCCUAUUUCCUUUUCUUCAAUUUUGUAGCUUCUGGAUGGUGGGUGUUGAUCGAUGCUUUCCUCGCCGCCGACCUUACCUCCAACGGCCUCAAGCUGUGUUGCUCCUUCACUAACUUUUGCAACGUCUACUUUAAUGCCUCCUUCUGUCUCUGUCACGGCACUAAUUACAGCGCCCUCCGUGGCAGCAGGUCGACCGUUGCUCAUUGCCACCAUGGUACCGGCGCUGGCAGCUCUCCGUCGUCCCUCUUGGUUUCGACGUAACGGUGAUGUCGAAUCACAACAAUUGACAAGGACGCAAGCCUGAAAAAGAGUUUCACCACGAAGAUAUGGUCUUCCGCGGUUUCCUAAUUGGGAGGAGCUGUGUCAAUGGGUUUCCUAGUUCCGCGGUUUUGAUAUGAUCUGCCCUUCUCGUCGGCCUUGAGUAUCUUAGAAAUCCAUGGCUAACAAACUAAGAACUGAGUGGUUUUUGAGAAGAAAAAUACCUGUACAACUAAGAAAAAAGGGGAAUAUAUAAUGAGGCUAAUUAACCAAGCGCGUUUUGUUUAGCUGUUUUAUUUUACGGCUGUAUGAUAUUUUGAGACUUUAUGUACACCAAAAACAAAUUUCAUUCACCAUUCUA